UUUCGAGGUUUGCCAGUGUUGAUGGCUAGUUCCCAGUAGAUCACUGAAGUUAAGCAACGUAGCGCGUGGUUUAUAUCUGGAUGGGUGACCAUCUUGGCAAUCGCGUGCUACUGGCC
rfam:Asian citrus Psyllid, Diaphorina citri - Florida Strain, whole genome shotgun sequence.